GACGAACGCUGGCGGCGUGCUUAACACAUGCAAGUCGAACGAAGAGCGACGGAAGCUUGCUUCUAUCAAUCUUAGUGGCGAACGGGUGAGUAACGCGUAAUCAACCUGCCCUUCAGAGGGGGACAACAGUUGGAAACGACUGCUAAUACCGCAUACGAUCUAAUCUCGGCAUCGAGGAUAGAUGAAAGGUGGCCUCUACAUGUAAGCUAUCACUGAAGGAGGGGAUUGCGUCUGAUUAGCUAGUUGGAGGGGUAACGGCCCCCCAAGGCGAUGAUCAGUAGCCGGUCUGAGAGGAUGAACGGCCACAUUGGGACUGAGACACGGCCCAGACUCCUACGGGAGGCAGCAGUGGGGAAUCUUCCGCAAUGGACGAAAGUCUGACGGAGCAACGCCGCGUGA
rnacentral:rRNA from 1 species